UAACGAAAGGUAAGUUCGGACGGGGGCCCGCACAAGCAGCGGAGCGUGUGGUUUAAUUCGAUGAUACACGAAGAACCUUACCCAGGCUUGACAUGUAGGUGGUAGGGAUCCGAAAGGUGACCGACCCUUCGGGGAGCCUGCACAGGUGCUGCAUGGCUGUCGUCAGCUCGUGUCGUGAGAUGUCCGGUUAAGUCCGGUAACGAGCGCAACCCUCGCUGUAUGUUAUAUGUGUCAUACGGGACUGCCGGUAUCAAGCCGGAGGAAGGUGGGAUGACGUCAAGUCAGCAUGGCCUUUAUGUCUGGGGCUACACACACGCUACAAUGGCCAGUACAAUAGGUUGCAAAACCGCGAGGUGGAGCCAAUCCUAAAAGCUGGUCUCAGUUCGGAUUGCAGGCUGCAACUCGCCUGCAUGAAGUCGGAGUUGCUAGUAACCGCGCGUCAGCUAUAGUGCGGUGAAUACGUUCCCGGGCCUU
rnacentral:rRNA from 1 species